UGACCGGCCUGCAGGCUGGCGGGGACACAGGUUACACUGAGACAGAGCUUUGGAAAGAGCCGUAUAUCAAAAUAAUGGCCUAAGAUGUCAACGAAGGACUCAUGCCCGUUCAGGACUUUGUUUUUCUGUAUGAUGACUAUAAAAUGCCGUUCUACCUCUGGGUCACCUAUUGCUAGCUCAUCUGCCUAGUAAGCAGUCCUAUCUCUGAGAGAGGAAUCAGUGGUUUUACACUUUCAGAUGAUGUCUGCUUGAAGCAGAUGUGGAUUUGAAGAAUUCCUUCAGCAAACUGAGGUCAUCCUUGCUGCACGCUGAAGGACCAGAGUCUUGUGCACAUGUUCUGGAAGCAGACAGCCUUGAUUCCAUUCCUGACUCCUCCUCUACUUACUGGUGAUGAGAACAUGGCCAACCUAUGGAAUGACAAACAGCACCUUAUUUUCUCAUCUAUAAAGUGGGGAUGGUAAUAGUGCCUACAUCUGAGAAUUAACACUCAGCCAUUUCCAGCCUAUGGUAUGUAUCUAAUAAUGUUUUGCUGCAUAUAUAGUUUGCACUGGAAGAUAUACCUGUCU
rnacentral:lncRNA from 1 species